CAAAAUUCUGAGGACUGGAGAAGGUGAUUUGGGGGACUCCUUUUCAAAACAAUAAGUCUGAACCUCGGAGGGUAAGGGGGGUGCUGUAGAGGGGUGCAACCCCUCACCAAGAACUUUAUCACCAACCCAGGCUGCAUUAACAGAGUAUAGUGUCUAGAACAUGGAAAGGAACAGGCUGUCUUCCAGCCAGAUCGCCUAUGGACUUUGGGCUUCAGGAGGAAGGUCCAAGGCAGCAAAGGGAAGGGAGACCCUGUCAGAUGAGAAGCACCUACAGCCUCUUAGCUUGUCUUCCCCGCAGCAGAGCAGUCUUAGAGCCAUGGCUUUCCAGACUGUGGAGCAGAGAGGUCACAUGUGGGGGCACUGGUAUCCAGCAACGUUGGGUUGGUGUCUGGCUCUGUUACUUUCAUCAGUGACCUUGCAUAGCUUACUUCACAUCUCUCUGCCUCAGAAUCCUACCUACCAGCCGAGCGCGGUGGCUCACGCCUGUAAUCCCAGCACUUCGGGAGGUGGAGGUGGGCAGAUCACAAGGUCAGGAGAUCGAGACCAUCCUGGCUAAGACAGUGAAACCCCAUCUCUACUAAAAAUACAAAAAAAAAAAAAAAGAAAAAAGAAAAGCCGGACAUAGUGCCGGGCCCCUGUAGUCCCAGAUACUCAUGAGGCUGAGGCAGGAGAAUGACAUGAACCUGGGAGGCAGAGCUUGCUUGCAAGUGAGCUAAGAUUGUGCCACUACACUCCAGCCUGGGUGACACAGCCAGACUACAUCUCAAAAAAAAAAAAAAAAAUCCCACAGAGACAUGAGGAAGACUACAUGGGAUAAUGCAUUAAAGUACCUAGAACAGCGUCUGGCACGUAGUAGAUCCUCACUUCACGUUAGGUGUUAUUAUGGUUGUUACUAUUAUUAGCUGAAUGGGUGUCAUGAGCAGAGGGAGACUGUAUGGGUGGGGUAUAGGGAAGAGCAUACAGACUCUGUGUAAGGACGACCCUUCUCCAUAUGAAAGCUUUGAUGGUAGUGAGCUUCCCACCCUGGAGGUGUUCAGAGGCUGAAUGACUCCCCUCCCCAACUCUAAGGGCCACCUUCAGUUCUUAGACUUUUGGGGUCCCUUCUACAACUUUUCUUUAAUUGACAGGAAAAAAAGUAUGCAUUUACCAUGUACAGCAUGACGUUUUGAAGAAUAUAUACAUUGUGGAGUGACUAAAUCUGGCUAAUUAACAUACGGAUUAUCUCAUAUAGUUUCUUCGACAACUUUUGCACCUGGAGGAGAUUCCCAGGACAGUCUGUCUGUCUGCUGGAUUCUAUUCCAGAGGAAAGGAAAUGGGUGGUCCCAGCCAGUGCCUACAGAGGAAGACUCAAGAACUCCUUCCUGACUCAUCUCCCUGCUCACAAACGCCCUCGGAAUUCCUCUUUUUGAGCACAAACAGCAGGAUAGGGACAGGGAUGACGGCAGGAAGAGGCAGCUUAAUAAAAAAUCCCAAUAAAGUUCUGCAGCCCCCGGCGGCCAGGUGCAGGUCCUGGGCAUGAGCCUUCCUUAGACCCGCCCACAGGGGGGCCCUGACUAAUAUUCCUGGAGCCUCUGCCUGCCCCUGGCUUCAUUAAUGAUGCUGAAGAAGGGUCUACGAGGUCCAACGGGGCUCCCCAUUGCUGCCUGACGAUAUUGCUAUGCCGCCCACGCCAGCCCCAUCCCAGCACACAUACCCUCCCUCUUCUAGACCCUCUGCAGAGGAAUGGGUUUGAUUCAAUCAGCCAUUUGCCUGUGGGACCGUCUGGUUCAACUUAUUGUGGGCAGAUGCCAGCGCCAGGGAGUCAAGCAACCCUGGUGCGGAAUUUGGAGCAAAGACUUAUUAAAGAGCAGCGGAGAGGCUCUGGGAUGGGGGCUCUGUACCCCCAGAGCCACCAGACCCAGGGUGGGCUCCAGCUAGGAAAGGCAAGGGUGGGAUAGAUAGGGACAGGAACCCAGGCAGAGCCCACCAGGAGUGCUCCCCAGCUGGCUAGAGCUCCUCCCCUGGCAGUUCAGGGCUGGCCUCCCUCCACCGGGAGCUCGAGGUGGGACAAGCUCGGGUCUUGUUCCCUCUAUGUAUUCCCUAAUAGAAAGCACAAUGCUUUAAGAAGUUUGGGCUGAGAAAAGCUAAGUCUGAGUACUUUGAAGACGGCCAGACAAAGGGCUGGUGGGGACAGCACGGAGUGCCUCGGCCCUCAGCUGCCCACAAAAGGAAGGAAAAAGGAGUGCAGACGUUGCAGUUCGGCUUAAAAAACAAACCCGUGAAACAGAGACAGCCCCCCUACUUCCCCCUCGCUCCAGCAUUAGCAGGAGGGGCUGAAAACAUUUGUUCAGAGGGAGGGUGGGGGGAAAAACCCUAAGUGCUUCUGCUUCCUUUUUUUUGCCAAAUCAUGCAGAAGAUGCUGGCAGCUGCAAAGAUUCAAUUAUGAACAAUGCGAAAAAUCAUUUACAAAAAUAAUGGCACUCGAAAAAAAAUGGCCUCUCCAGAAAUGGCGUGGAACAAUAAAUCCGUUAAUUAGCUAAUUAAUAUUCAAUUGGGGUCAGUGGGCUUAAUAGAACCUUUCUUGGAGACCCAAGAAAUUCUAAACUGCCGCGAGGCGCCUGCCCACUGCCAUUAUCUCGGGCGAGCAGGCCCUUAUCGGGCUGCCAGCUGUCCCCGAACAAUGCGGGCCCUUAUCAGCUGGGGCAGCAGCCCUGGCCGCUCGCUCCGGCUCCCUCCGCCCAGAGGAGCACGCAGCCUCUCGGUAAUUGAUACACGGCGCAGCUUUGUCUGAGGCUGUUUGCUCUGCUGGUAUUUAAGGCAGCGCGGGCCCCCUGAUUGAUUGCCAUUGGCCAAGUUUCUGCUGUCAGUGAAGGACCAGCCAAUGGCAGCGGUUAACACUCUUGAUGGCCCAGUCUUCUGGGCCAGGCCAGAGGCCCAACAUGCAGGAACAAGGCCCGCUUCGGUUUGGCGUAAGUUUUGUUGUCCUCCUAAAGUGGGAACCUGAGCCCUCAAAGACUUGGGCGUUUGGGUGGGCCGCUGGUAUCCCCUGCCCUGCUUUGCUCUCAGUGCGGUCUUUGUCUCAGGAAAAUGGGAGGUUGCAUCAGACCCUUGUUACUCUAAGUGUGGUCCAUGGACUUGCAGCAUCCAGCAUCUGCGAGCUUGUUAGAAACACAAAUGCUCAGGCCCACUUCAGACCUCCUGAAUCUGAGUCUCUGGAAAUGGGGUCUAGGAGUCUAUGUUUUAUUAAUUGCCCUAGAUGACUCUGAUAAGGGCACGCUGAAGUUUGAGAUGCAGUUAUCGAGAUCAGGGUUCCCACCCUUGGCUGUGUCUUAACACAGGCUCCCACCUGGGAGAGGGAGAAUUAAAUAUACAAAUUCCUGGGUCCUGCGGUGUAGGGUCAUUUUCCCUCAGCCGCACCCUGAGCACAAGGUACUCUGGGAACACUAGAACUGGCCAGCAAAGAGACAGGGAUACCGGCUGCCAUGGUCGUGCCCAUGGGGGUCCUGCCCAGGGUGGAACAAGGUUGCGCAUGUCAAACAGUGUAGACAAGUUCUGGCUAUACGGGACUUGGGCUCCAGAAAUCCACAGGGAGUUAGAAUGCAUUUUCUAUUUUUCUGAAUCAGUGUCUUGCUCUGUCACCUAGGCUGGAGUGCAGUGGUGUGAUCAUAGCUCACUGCAGCCUUAAAUUCCUGGGCUCAAGUGAUCCUCCCCUUAGCCUCCCAAGUAGCUGGGACUACAGGUGCAUGCCACUAUGUCUGGCUAAUUUAAAAAGAAUUUUUUUGUAGAGAUGGGGUCUCACUAUGUUACCCAGGCUUAUUUCAAACCCUGGCCUCAAGUGAUCCUCUUGCCUUGGCUUCCCAAAGUGUUGGGAUUACAGUUGUGAGCCUUCCAGAUGCAUGUUUGAUAGAAACAACGUUCCACAUGGGAGGUGGGCUCCCAGGCUAGCCCCUAGAUACCGUGAGACCCAUAGCAAAGCUGAGUCUCAGCACAUCCCCUUAGCAAAUGGAAGGAGAAGGGAGGAGAAGAAAGAAAAGGAAGUUAGGGAAAAAGAAGGUGGAGGGGACUUUAUUGUCUUACUAGGGCUCAAAUCAUGGGGUCAGGUUUUCUGAGUGUUUCUUCGGUCCCCUACAUUCUCGUCCUGCCCUGUCUUCUCUCACUUCACUGCACUCUUUAUCACUGCACCCUUCCUGGCCUGCCCUCUCAGGUAGAGCUGAGAAUCCCGUGGCUCUGCCUUCUCCCAACCCAGCCCCACAUGUUCCAGCCGCAAGCCUUUGGGGACCAGCUUGGUCAUGCCUCUGCAUAUGAAUGAGCAGGACCGCUUCACUGAGGCAGGAGAGCUUUGGUGGGAUCUGGACUUGGAGUUAGCUUAGAUGAGGUGGGUAGGGAGAGUCCCCCAUCCUGACUGCACCCCACCUUCUCUCAGGUGUUGAAUAGGAGCCAGUCAAGCAAUAGGAACAAGGAGGCCGUAAGGUAAGGGGCAAACACCAGGCAUAAUGCACCCAGCCUCAGCGCCCCUCAUCCAACACAGUGGAGCUUGGUGAGAGGAAUUCAAGAGCCAUGCUCUUCCUGGAACAGGGCCAGGUACAGGGAACUCUGGGUAUCAGCAGGUGACAGGACCUCAGCCACAGGGGCCAUGGGGGGUUAGUGAGGCAAAGUUGGUCCAAGCAACGGAUGGCUCUAAGCUUAGGAUUAUGUUGUCCUCGGCAGAUGACUGGGCAGGGCCUUGAACCCCAGAGCAAGUUAGGAUGAAGUUAUCAGGUCUGGGGUUCCAGGCAAGGACCAGAUGGAUGUGAUUCUGAGUGAGACCAGAGUGAAGGGCUAGAGCUACUGAAGCUCUUCCUGCCUCCUGGGCCACAUCCCAAGUUGCCCAGCUAAUGUGAUCAGUUCCUUCGUCUCCAUUGUGAAUCAGCAGCAAGGGCCCCAUGUGAUGUUCCUCCUGGGUCAUUUACUUCUCUAGCAACAAGGGGUUUUCAGUGCACCCGCAUCUGCAUGGGAGGAUUACCAGGCACUUCUAGAACUGCCAGGGCCUCAGGGGAAGCUCAGCCAAGUAGAUUGACUGGUGCGGACUGUCGGAGUCACCAGCAAUCAGCAUGGGGAGGAGCAGAGCUGAUGCUGCAGUCCCAACCAAAUGGCCCUUUCAUCUGUGCCCUCCUCGGGGCUCUCAGUGUAUCAAAAGGCUGUUGAAGAAUAUCAAAGGCAAGCAACCAUUAUCCAUCACUCUUCUAGGUUAAAUAACUUCCAUAUUGAUGUGUUCACGAGACUCUAAUGAGGAAAAUAGCCUUCUGUUAAGUAAGCAAACCAUUGACCUAAGAACCCAUGGGUUAGCCCAGGCCCUCACCUACCACGUGAGCAGUUAGCUUCUAAAGCUGCCCAGACACCAAAAAUACGCCCUUCCUCCCCAACCACAUAUGUUCACGCAUGUCACUUUGGCUCUCAUGGGGCUCCUUGAUCCCUCCCUGAGCAAGUGUGCUCCUUUGGACAACAUGGGUUUGGCCCGUCUCACCAAAUCCUGGAAACGGAGGCCAAAGGUACUCUUGUCCAGGCUAGAGUCCUGACCCCAACUCUCUGAGGGGUGCAUGUGUGAUCCCAGAUCAUGGAUAUUGCCCUGCACAAGCUGGUGCAAGAGCAAGAUACCCUAGUCUUCCUUUCCUAGAUCAAAUCUGCUCUGGUCAUGUUUCAGGAGGCCACUGGGUGCUGGCCCAUGCUUGGAGUUGCUUCCACAGCCAGCUAUUGGUGGGAGGGAGUGAAAGGCAACAACAGAACGUGGACAUGGAGAGAGAGACAUUGAGAGACUCAGAGACACACUUAGGAGAGAGGCAGAAAGAGAACUCGAGAGAGCCGGUUGGUUUGUGUGAGAGUGAGGGAGAGCUCUAAUCAUUGGUUCAAUUAUCUGAGACUCUACUUUGACAACCAUAGAGACUUCCUGUGCCUAUGACAACAAUUGCCAGGAUGGGAGUGGUGGUAGGUUGGGACUCUGCAGAUUUUUCUGACUCCAAAUUCCUAUUGUGACCUUGAGUCUCUGGUUUCCUAUGAGCUCAAAGUGGGUUCUUCCUUGAGCUCCUUCCUUGAGAGGGCUAAGCUUGCUCCCAACUCCCUUUGUCACCUGUUCUCAAAACACCAGAUGAUUGGGACCCUCAGACCAGUGUCCAAACCAGUUUUAUAGAUGAGCAAACUGCAGCUCAGGGUGUAACCGCUGCCAAGUGCACAUUAUACACGAGUUAGGUGCUGGGCCAUGGCAGUCCAGGAAUGGCCUCCCCGCUUUACCGUUAGUUAUCUACCUGCUGCCCACUCCCUCACUCCCCUUACUCAACAGUCUCUGUGCCAGGGCAACCAGGCCCUAUCACCAGAGGAAAGAAAGUUUCUGCUAACCUGAAAACAAGCCAUAGGAGCAGGAGGCCCUGAGUGCGCCUGCGGAGUUUGGAGCUCCUUCAACUUCACGACUAAUUGCAGAGAGGCAGUGGGCGGGCUCUUGGCAAGCAAUUAGCUGUCCCACUGCAUGAAUAAUUUGCAUAGAAAAUGCUUUAUUUUGGCAAUCUAUUAAAGGGCCCACAGUGCUGUGGCUUAUCUCAGUCUCACAGCAAGGAGAAGGCUUGGCUAUCUCGUUAAGUUCUGUUGAUGCAUAACAAUUUGAAAUGGGCACAGGCUAGUAUGACAUUUAAAGAUGCCUUCACUUAAUUAUAUUACACAAACAUAGGGUUGUUUAUCCUUGGGAAUAAAGUCUUUUUGAAGUCAAAGUUGGCAUGUGCAUAAAGGAGGGCGUUUUAACCGAUUUUUCAAGAGGAAGCCUCCUCACUUCAAACUUGGGGGGUUGCAUUUCCCUAGGGCCUCGUAACACAGAGGGUUCUAUGGCUGAGAUGCAGACUUUGAGAUUGGCUCUCUAGUUCUUCUUAUUUAGGGGUGGCCUACAGUUUGGCACUUAAUACAAUAUUGCGGAAAGAAAAGCUUAUUAGAGCAAGGAAAAGAGACUUGCUGUGUGACCUUGGGGGAGCCCCUCCUCUUUUCUGAGCUUCCAUUGCCUCCUGUGCAACACGUGGGGUGGGACUUUCCUUCUCUAAAGCAAUGACUGGCAAACCACAUGUUCUGCUUUCACCUUGCCACUCCUCACAUUGACUCUGUAAAUUAAAAUACAGCCUCUUUGUUAAAAGCCAAAGGGAAUUCAGGAGCCCCAUAGCACGCUUUCUAAGGACUAGAAUAUGCUGGAGGAGGGAGAUGAGGAAAAAUAGGAAGGGGCUUGCAGCUGCAGCAGGUGUUGGUACAUUUUGCUCUGCCAAGUCAGAAGGCCCCAGGAGACUGCAGAGCUUGCAGCCUUGCUUCAUUUCCUUGAAAACUAGGAAUUGGGUCCUGAUUGGAGGAAAUGCAAGAGGAACCCUAGGGGCUUUGAGAAAAUCCAUGAAACCCUGAGAAGCCUGCCUUGCUCACAGGUUGCCCAUGGAAAGCUGACAGAUGCCAGAUAGCUCUUCACCUCUAGGCACUGGAGCAGAGACCAGUGCUACCCUGGGAGGAGCUCUAGGCGCAGGGUUGGGUUGGCUGGUUUCUGGCAGACCAGAGUCUUUGUUGAUUCCAGUGAAAGUGCUGCCUGAGUGGGUCAUUUAACAGAAGAAGAUAUAAUGAGAAGGAGGGCUUUGUUUAGGGCCCUGGCUUCCAGACACUGUGCUUCUCCUGGACUCAAGCUUUCUGGAAAACAGACUCUUAUCCCACCUCCCUACUCCCUUCCUGUACCUCUAGGACUGAGGACUGCACUCAGAGAUGACAUGUUC
rnacentral:lncRNA from 1 species